ensembl:snoRNA
AUCCUUCUGUUCCCUUUCCCAUCAGAUCUCAACACAGGUCUUGGUGGUUAUAAAGGAGGGAGAGCAUGCUGAAGCUGGCCUCACAGCCUUGGAGUCUGGUAUAAGCAUAUGGGCCAGAUUCAAACAGGG